GGAGUUAGCCGGUGCUUCUUCUGUGAGUGAUGUCCUUCCUGCCGGCUAUUAACCCGCAGGCCUUCUUCCUCACUGAAAGUGCUUUACAACCCGAAGGCCUUCUUCACACACGCGGCAUGGCUGGAUCAGGGUUGCCCCCAUUGUCCAAUAUUCCCCACUGCUGCCUCCCGUAGGAGUCUGGGCCGUGUCUCAGUCCCAGUGUGGCUGAUCAUCCUCUCAGACCAGCUACGGAUCGUCGCCUUGGUGAGCCGUUACCUCACCAACCAGCUAAUCCGACAUAGGCUCAUCCGAUAGCGCGAGGCCCGAAGGUCCCCCGNUUUCCCCCGUAGGGCGUAUGCGGUAUUAGCCUGGGUUUCCCCAGGUUAUCCCCCACUACCGGGCAGAUUCCUAUGCAUUACUCACCCGUCCGCCGCUCGCCACCAGGGAGCAAGCUCCCCGUGCUGCCGCUCGACUUGCAUGUGUUAGGCCUGCCGCCAGCGUCAUACUGAACCAACGAUACAACUUACUGA
rnacentral:rRNA from 1 species